GAAAAUAUUUCUUUCCUACUACCUCACAUUUGAGAUUGAUUAAUAGCUUUCCUUGUUGCCUUGUUGAUGAUGGAAGAGAGAUGAAGAAAAAGAAGAAGAAGAAGAAGCUAUUUCAAGUCUUAGAUGUGUGUUUGUGUAUUUUGUAUAGAUUCCACUAUUUUUUUAAUCAAAAAUUCAUAUUAUACAAUAUAAUAUUUAUUUCUUCAAUGUUAACAAUAAAGAAAAAUAAAUAAUCACAUCACACCAUUAAUUGCAUUCAAAUCAAGUAUUUAUUGCUCCUAAAAAGAUCUCAAAGGGUAAGAUGGACAUUUUGUGGAGAAAAAGUGACAUUUUUGUAAAAAAUUUGUGCAAGACAAAAUUUUUUGUGCAUUUUCAAAUUUAGUGACAUUUAUGUAAAUUCCCCAUAAAAAUAUCUUGAAUGGGAUUUGAUGCUAGCUUUGCACAAGAGGUGGAGUGGGGUCCAUCAGAAAGUUUGCUCAUAAAAUGAUUGCGAGCUGAGAGGGUGUGCGUGGGUGGCGCAUGUUAGAAGGAAAAGGUUGGAGAUUUUGUUAAAGAAAUUUCGUCCUAAGUGAACUAAAUUUAAAUACUUUCAUAUGAGAUUCAAAAAAUAUUGUAAAUUAAUGAAAAAAUGAAGCAAAAAAAAAAAAAAAAAUCCUUAAAAAGGAGUGAAAUUUAAAGGAUAUGUGAACACAAGGUUUAACUUAUAGUAAACCAAUAUAAGAGGCAAGAAAAAUAACUUGGUCAAAGCAUAGGAUUCUGACAAACGCUGACUAAUUAUGCAACAAUGAUAGCAAAGUUUUCUAAUAUACAUAUUUUAAUUACGAAAAAAAUAUAGAAAUCGAAGAAUCUUGUAGAAAAGAGAUAUUGAUUAUGGAAACAUUUAAUAUGCUAUAUUAAAAUGCACAUGAUUCUCUAUUCUGUGCGUAUGCAGUAGGCACAUUGAAACGAAGUUCAACAACUGAACAAAAUAUCAAUAAGUUAUCAAGACAGCAAAACUCGGUAAACAGAUUGAAAGUUGCGAAAGUUAAGUAUCUAACUAUAUGAAAAUAUCGUUAGACUAUGAUGAAAGAAAAAAUAUAUCGGUAUUAGUGUAAUCCUAAAUUCAAACUAUCAUAAAAUCCUCACCAUUAAUAACCUAGAAGAAUUAAAACUAUUAUCUUUAUUAAGCAAUUGCCUAAUAUUUGAAUUUAUGUAUGGUCAUUCCACGGCUCGGGUCACUUGCAAUACCUCUAUUUCCUUUGCCUAUCUCGCAACUUCAUAGAUUAUUUUUGUAUUUCUUUCUUGCACAUGUUUCAAGCUUCUUUCUUCUAGGCAUAUAAGACUUGCCAUCUCUUAUUUUGAAGUUCUUUCUUCGUUAAUGCUAUCAAUCCCAAAUUCAGCAGAAGAUACAGCACUGUCCAUCUCCAGAAAGAGGAAAUAAUUACGUAAAAUGUAAUAGGAAAACUAUAGUCAUUAUAUGAGUAACAAAAAAAUAAGUAUAAAAAGAAUAGAAUAAGUAAAUAGAAUGAACAAAAAAGAGCAUCAACUAUAAGAAAAUUAUAUAUAAGCAAUCCAACAUAAAACUACGCCCAAAUUAUGUUUAAGCAAAAGCCUUUUUUGAAUUUUCUUAUGAAAGACUUUUAGGUCAAGGGGUCGCAGCACGAUACAAACAAUACCAACCAUCCCAAAAGUGUUACCAAAUACAGUUUUAAGAUGAUGAAUUUAAAAUACUACUCCAUCCACUUAAAAUCAAAAUUUCCGUAUUUUCCAAGUCAGACAAUUUUGGCAUUGGAGUGGUGCUCAACAUUAACUCAUUAGUGUUCUAAUAAAACAGUUCUCGAAAAUAGUUGUAUGUUCCAUUCACUACAUGCUAUCUCUGCCUGGUACUUUUUAAAUUUAAGUUAACCAAGUCGGAUUAAUUUUUCAUCAACAGACAAGGUUCAAAAUUGGUGAGUUUUCCCAGUUUUCCUAUUUCACUUUUCUUCGGUGUAGCAAAGUCGGUACCAUUAUCGCAAAGAGGCUAAGCAUAUGCUGUAAGAUCUAGAAUUUCCACCAUUGCAGCUAAUUUAACCAUUCAGAAAGAGAACAAUGAGAAUAAAGAUUCAAAGUACUCUUUGUGGCUUCAGAUAAGAAAGAUAUAGUUUAAAUUAUUUUCAAAAAUUACAAUUCAUACAUCCAUCAGUGGGUGUUUACUCACCUGAAAUUAUGUACUCAUGUCCUGCGGCACAAGGCUUCCAAGAUAUAGUGGCCAAAUAACCAUAGAAAUGGAGACACUUUUAGCUCGUCAAAUUAAAAAUUAUAAAACUACAUUGCAAUCGAAACAAUAAUAUGACAACAAGAAAAAGAAAGAUUAAUUAUUCAAGUACUUACAUUAGGGAAGAUAAGAGUUAUGAUAUCUUUCUUGCAUAAUAUGGAGCAUUCUGUAUCAGGUGCAGAGAGGAAGGCAAAAUAUUAAUGGCUAGAAUUUGGA
rnacentral:lncRNA from 1 species